GCGCCCUGCGCAGCCCCAGUGGCCUAAUGGAUAAGGCACUGGCCUCCUAAGCCAGGGAUUGUGGGUUCGAGUCCCAUCUGGGGUGACCGCUAUGUUUUGCCUCUGCCAGACCCGUUUCCAUGCUCUUUCUUCCCAUUUCACUGCCCUGGGCUUCCUCCUCCUCCUCCUCCUGUCCCUGCGGCCGCUGGCUGUGGCUGCUUACUGGGGAGACAUUCCCCAUCCCGGUGGGAGAUCCCAGAUGAGUCAGGAGAAUCCAGAGGUGUGCAUAGACCAGCGCCCUGUCUGAGAGCGGCACUAGACACAAAACCUGAUGCGGGGAAAGACCAAAGAGGGAGAUCAAGGUGCAUCCUGUAUUUAUUAUCAGCAGCACUCGAGCCCCAAGCCCAUUUAUGCUGGUCCACCUUGCGUGGGGGAACCUCUUCCGGGAGCAGGACAAGUUGGGAUGGUCGGGAAGCUUUUACUCCACCAGAAACCACAUCUCCAAGAGGGGCUGGUCAGUGGGGUCACAGUUUGGCUGUGCUGCCCUGGGACCAAAGUCCUCUCUGUAAGUGCCUUUGGAAUAAUGCCCUCUCAGAUUUGCUGCAUUAAAAAGCUGCCUGGAGGGUCUUUUCUUGCAGAGUUAAUGGAUUUUGAAAGCAGCUGUGGUCAGGGUAAUGCCACACCAGUAAAACACAAAGUGAAGUUUCUUUUUAAGUAGAUUUUCUCUCUUAGGUGUGGGAGGCUCUGCUGCCUGGAAAGCAACAAACCUACCCAAGCCCUGGACAGUGGACCACUGACAAAAAUACCUUCCUGUGGUGGGCUUUGGGGAACUUUUUUUGGGAUUAGAUGAGAAACAUGGGUUUUGGGGAGAGCAGCAUUCGGGGGCGGGGGGACCAGAGCUCGGAACCGGCAGCAGGAGGGGUCGGGGCCGCAGCUGGAACCCGGUUCCUGGGAAAAGGAAAGGGGGGAGACAAGGUUGGCUGAAAUUUCCCAUACUGCCAGGGGUGCCGGCUGAAUUACGGGGGGUUAGGGCUGAGGUUGAGUUUGCUGUGGUUCAGUGGGGAAUACCAAUUCAUUGCCCCUUCGUGUGCGCAGCGCUGCUUUCAAAAUCC
rnacentral:tRNA from 1 species